rnacentral:rRNA from 1 species
AACGAACGCUGGCGGCAGGCUUAACACAUGCAAGUCGAGCGAGACCUUCGGGUCUAGCGGCGGACGGGUGAGUAACGCGUGGGAACGUGCCCUUCUCUACGGAAUAGCCCCGGGAAACUGGGAGUAAUACCGUAUACGCCCUUUGGGGGAUAGAUUUAUCGGAGAAGGAUCGGCCCGCGUUGGAUUAGGUAGUUGGUGGGGUAAUGGCCCACCAAGCCGACAAUCCAUAGCUGGUUUGAGAGGAUGAUCAGCCACACUGGGACUGAGACACGGCCCAGACUCCUACGGGAGGCAGCAGUGGGGAAUCUUAGACAAUGGGGGCAACCCUGAUCUAGCCAUGCCGCGUGAGUGAUGAAGGCCUUAGGGUUGUAAAGCUCUUUCAGCUGGGAAGAUAAUGACGGUACCAGCAGAAGAAGCCCCGGCUAACUCCGUGCCAGCCGCCGCGGUAA